AGAUCAGUGCCCAGCCCCUGGCUGCCAGGUCUUCAUCUGCAUUCCCCAUCUCUGUUUCCUGGGGCGAAAUGGAGGGCUGGGAUGGGGAGCGAUUUAGCCCCGUUUCUGGCAAGGCCAGGAAGGCCAAUGGAGUCUUUCCCAUGGGUCUUCUUUUCUCCCAUUUCUAUGACCAGUCAGAAACUCAACCGUUUUCCCUGCUUUCCUUCACCAGUUUCUCCUCUCUUCCCUGGGGUUUCUCAGGAGGUGGAUAUGUGAUCGAUUCAGGCACAGAGUUGGUGCCAGGCUGUUCUGACACCGGUUAGACUUUGACUGGAGGCCUCUUGGAAGGUGCAUACCAGUGUAACCUUGGGGCUCUGCUUACCCAUUAUCUCUGCACCCCAAUAACAAACGAUCUUCCGAUUGGGGUCCUCAUGAAGCCUGAGUCGCCCCCCCCCCGCCCCCGUGGACCUGCCUUAUGAAUGGUAUAAGAUCUCUGUCUCCAGAAGACAAAUGGGCCGUGUUCCAAGGUCCCAAUCCCCAGUCUUUGUCUCCAGGAACCCGGUUCCUACAGCUUGCAGAGCGCUUGCAUGUGACCAUUGGCUCUUGUCCUGUGGCAGCACCACCAUCUAGGAGCUCAGGUCAUUUAACUGGUUAGAAGGCAGAGCCCAUCUGCUCCUCUCUAUGGUCAGACUGGAGACAGGAGGUACAGUAAGCUCUGAACUUGGGGUGAUCCUCUUUCGUCUCUGUGAGUGAGCUUGGACCAAGGGUGGGUCUGCAAGGACAUCUAGGUUUAGAGACAUGGAGGGGGUAGGCUGAGAUGAAACGUUCUUUCUCCUUUCUGAGACUUUGUGUUCAGAAGCAGAGUCAGGAGGCAGUGGGGGAGAUGGAAUGCUGGUCUUUGCAGAGAAAUGGCAAGUUGAUUUACUGCUGACUUUGGCCACUUCAAGACAGGAUCGAGGGAAUUCCAGGACUUGUAAGGGGUCUCAGGGUAAAAAGAAGUGUGUGUCGUGUCAUCGUGUCCCCCCCCCCCCGCAGCAUUCGAUCCGUGGUCCCAGAACUAAAGUGGCUAAGGUUGGGUCAGGUGGCUAACUCAGAUGACACAGACAGCCCCACUUCUGUAGCGCUCCUCCCAGCAGCUAGGCAGGGUUGAUUAAUUGCUCAGUCCAGGUUGGGUUUAUCCCAAGCUGUUGAUUCACAGCUGAGGAUGGUGGCACUGGCCUGAACUCCCCAGCAGAAAGGGUACGAGAAGGCUUUUCUAUGGACAGAUUGCUCUCCAGAUAACACAGACUGCGAGCAGAAAAAGCCAGCAGACAAAG
rnacentral:lncRNA from 1 species